ensembl:lncRNA
GAGGUUUUGCACUUGCCAUGUGCAUAUGGUUAUGAAGUCUAUUUUUCAAUUAUUUUUCAAUGGAUUGUUUCAGUCGUCCAGGAAAAGUUUACUAUCAAGCUCUGUUAAGUAAUUCAGUACCUAUAAUAUAAGAAUACCUUUCUGAGAUAAAAAAUAACCUUUUUUUUUUUUUUUUUUUUUUUAAUUAGGUUAUAUCAAAGUAUUGGUACCUCAGUAUGAACUCUCACUGUCUCUUCAACAUCUUCAUCAGUGACAUCAAUGAUGGUCUCAAGUGCACUCUCAGCAAGUUUGCUGAUGACACCAAGUUAAGUGGUACGAUUGACAUGUUAGAAGGAAGGGAUGCCAUCCAGGGGGACUUCAGCAAACUUGAGAGGUAUUCUUGCAUCUGUCCAAUACAUUUUGACAGAGUACUGGAACAGCUGCCCAGGGGGGUUGUGGAUUCUCCUCUGGAGAUAGUGAAGACCUGCUUGGACACCUACCUGUGCAGCCUGCUGUAGGGGGCUUGCUUUGCAGGGGGGCUGGACUUGAUGAUCUCUGCAGGUCCAUUCCAGCCCCUACAAUUCUGUGAUUUGGUACUAAGAUAACCCCAGUGAACUGCUUACAAAUUAUCAUGUAGAAUACAGCAAUUUUGGCAAAAAAAUGAGAUGAAAUUAACAAAAUCAAAUAUGGCAAUUUUAAGUUGUUCUCUUACCCAGUGCUGGAGAUGUUUUUAUGAGACCAGAUAAUAAUAUUAUUCCACACUAUGAAAUCUAUUUAAAAUUCAUACAGUGGAUAUCUAUGUCUUGUGAUUCUUAUAUGUUUUGAUGAAUUACUGAUUAUUCUUUACAUAUCAUUUAGAGGCUAGUCUGCUCAUUAUUUUAUUUCUUUUUCUGAGCUUGAAAGUGUUACAUUUUAAUAAUAUUUGCAGUGUAAAUGACUACAAUAAGGAGAAAAUGACAAGACUGGAUGAACUUUGUCAUUGGAGUUAGUGGUUUCAGGUCUCAGACCGUUAGAAAUCUGGGAGAAUAAAAAUGGCGCACUUUGAUAUAAUUCAUCCACUUAAAAGUUUAAUGUCAAAAUACAUAUGAAAUAAAUAAAUUUCAGAAAUAAAGGUUUAGUAAAAU